CCCAGGAUUCCCGGCCGGCCUGUCUGCAUGUUGCGGAGGGGAGGCAUUUCCCAGCCAGCUCACCAGGGCUCUCACCCUGUCUGUGUUGUACUGGUGUCCCAGCAGCCCAGGGUGGACAGGAACGUGGCAGUGACAUACGCGGUGGUGGGACAGGGCGGCUCUCGAGUACAGGACACCCGGCCGGCUCCAUAGCACUGGGAUUCCCAGUGCCCCACAAGCCUGCGUGAGCCCCACACUCGCUGCCAGCCUGAGCGGAGCCCCGGGAAGGAGACGGUGAUGGAGCCUGUUAACCAGCCAGCGAGCAGCAGUGUUUGGGUCAGUCGAUGGCACAGGGGAAGCUCCGACACUUCGUGGGCAGCGGGAGCCGGGUGUGGCGGAGGCCGGGCUUCGUGUCACAGCCAGUUGUUAUAGUUACAGCAGAACCUUCCUGGCCAAAGUUCCCACCCCGGAGGCCUGCACAUAAAAUCCCCUCGGUGACUGUGCAUGAGAGCGACAGGCAGAGCGACAGGCGGCCACAAGCCAUUUGCACAGGCAGCUGCCUGACGUGCACACCUGGUCGUGGGGAAUGCAAAUGUAGGGUACCAAAUGGGUUUAAAUGUGGCCUGAAACGGCUCCUGCAUUUACUGAAUAUCCAGGACGCAGAUGCUGAGCCAAAUGUCUCUGGUGUAAGCCUCAUAGAAGGGGUGGGGAGAGAGGCAGUGCGGGGAUGCCUGCGUGGGUGUAGCUGUGUCAGAGACACGCUGUGAUGCUGCUAUGGGGGGAUGUGCUGGGGUCUAUGCUGAGCCUCUGAGCACGUGCAGGGUGAACAAGGGGGCAGAUUUUUGAAGGUAUUGAAGUGCCUAACUCCCAUGGAUGUCAGUGAGAGUUAAGUGCCUGAGCCCCUUUAAAUAGUGACCCAAGGGGUCUCUGGCAGGCUGGGUCUGAGCUGGCUCCUGUGCAGUGAAUAAAAUGCUUUGCCUUUUCUCUGCUCAACCUGCCUCCUGGGAGCAUCGCUAAGCAUCAACUAGUGCCAGGAGUUACGAUGAGACACACAUGGAGCAAUUAUCUCCCUGAGUCCACUGGGGACCUGGGGAAACUUGGCAGUGACACAGGUUAGGUUCAAGCAGUGUUUUCUCAUCCCCACGGGGCCGCAGAGACACGCAGAUGCAGAGAGUCAUGAACAUCACAGAUCGAGGGGGACAGGGAUGUGAGAAUAAAUCAUUUAUGCCCUGAUAUCUCUCUCUCUCUCUCUCUCUCUCUCUCACACACACACACACACACAUAUACACACACACACAAAAACAAUUUCAUUAGCACAGCGUCGAGGCUGCCCUGGGGUAUCUCGCUCCCAUCCAGAACGCUGAAACCCGCCAAAUUCACAGGUCUGAAAGCCAGAACAUUCCGAGUUCAGGUAUUUCACACUCAGGAUUCCUAAAACCAGGAAACUGAGGGAAGGGUUAGGCCCGCGCAACCUUUACUCUGCCCUCGUUGAUCGAUGCCCCAAUACGCCCAGGCUCUGCCUUUGCACUGUAGCAAACAGGAGCUACGAGCACCUGCCCUCCGCUCACAGACUGAGCCUGCUCCACCCUGUUGCCGGCACCCAGUGCCGAGAGGCAAAACAACAGCUGGGGUUGGUUCGCUACCCGGUAUGCUUCGCCCAAUAAUCACAACGGGGUGGAGAAGCAGAAAAGUUUAUUUGAAGCUUCAAAAAGAUACAGGGAGAAUAGAAUCUCAAAUCCUGCACACAAAGCAGGAAGUUACACAGGCUUUUAUACAUCCUUUCUUCAGCAUACUUAUCCAAUAACAAGCUGCCCUAAGUAUCCAUAUAGCCAGCCAAUCCAGUUACCAGCUAGUUCCCUUGUUUUUUGUAUCAUUUGUUAAACUAUACAUAAAGCUGCUUUAUUCAGCAUUUUUCUUCCAUA